rnacentral:rRNA from 1 species
CCUACGGGAGGCUGCAGUGGGGAAUAUUGGGCAAUGGGCGCAAGCCUGACCCAGCAACGCCGCGUGAAGGAAGAAGGCUUUCGGGUUGUAAACUUCUUUUCUGAGGGACGAAGAAAGUGACGGUACCCCAGGAAUAAGCUACGGCUAACUACGGGCCAGCAGCCGCGGUAAUACGUAGGUGGCAAGCGUUAUCCGGAUUUAUUGGGUGUAAAGGGCGUGUAGGCGGGAAUGUAAGUCAGAUGUGAAAACUCAGGGCUCAACCCUGAGCCUGCAGUUGAAACUGUUUUUCUUGAGUGCUGGAGAGGCAAUCGGAAUGCCGUGUGUAGCGGUGAAAUGCGUAGAUAUCCCGAGGAACACCGGUGGCGAAGGCAGAUUGCUGGACAGUAACUGACGCUGAGGCGCGAAAGCGUGGGGAGCGAACAGGAUUAGAUACCCGAGUAGUC